rnacentral:rRNA from 1 species
CCUACGGGGGGCAGCAGUGAGGAAUAUUGGUCAAUGGGCGUAAGCCUGAACCAGCCAAGUCGCGUGAGUGAUGAAGGUUCUAUGGAUCGUAAACCUCUUUUAUAAGGGAAUAAAGAGUGGGACGUGUCCUGUUUUGUAUGUACCUUAUGAACAAGGAUCGGCUAACUCCGUGCCAGCAGCCGCGGGAAUACGGAGGAUCCGAGCGUUAUCCGGAUUUAUUGGGUUUAAAGGGUGCGUAGGCGGCCUUUUAAGUCAGCGGUGAAAGUCUGUGGCUCAACCAUAGAAUUGCAGUUGAAACUGGAAGGCUUGAGUAUGGUAGAGGCAGGCGGAAUGCGUGGUGUAGCGGUGAAAUGCUUAGAUAUCACGCAGAACCCCGAUUGCGAAGGCAGCCUGCCAAGCCAUGACUGACGCUGAUGCACGAAAGCGUGGGGAUCAAACAGGAUUAGAUACCCUUGUAGUC